GUGCGACAGCGGCGGCGCGGCGAGCGGAGCCGGGAGGCGGGGAAGCAGUGGCCGUGUGAGCGUGAGGAGCUGCCGCCACCGCCUGUUCCUCGUCGUCCUCCUCCUCGGGGGCCCCGGCGACGUGGGCCGCGCAGGGCCCUGGAAGAGACGUCGCCUCCCCUUCAUCCGCCUCUCUCUCACCGCGCCGCUCCCGCCUCCUCGUCCUGUGCUGCGGGCUCAGGCGGAACCCGAAACGGUCGUCCUCUUCCCCCGCCCGCCGCCGCCUCCUCCUCCUCCUCCUUCUCGGCUUCCUUCUCAGCCCCGGGCCGGAGCGGGGUGUUGGCGGCGGCCGGUUCGGGUGGCGACUCGCGCUUCUCUGGGCGGCGGCGCUUGGCCAUAUCGUGUCGGGGAAGGUAAUGAGCCGCAGAGCCCCGGGGUCUCGGCUGAGCGGCGGCGGCGGCGGCGGCGGCGGCGGCGGCACCAACGGCACCAACUAUUCGCGGAGCUGGAAUGACUGGCAACCCAGAACUGAUAGUGCAUCAGCCGACCCAGGUAAUUUAAAAUAUUCUUCAUCCAGAGAUAGAGGUGGUUCUUCCUCUUACGGACUGCAACCUUCAAAUUCAGCUGUGGUGUCUCGGCAAAGGCACGAUGAUACCAGAGUCCACGCUGACAUACAGAAUGACGAAAAGGGUGGCUACGGUGUCAAUGGGGGAUCUGGGGAAAAUACUUAUGGUCGGAAGUCAUUGGGGCAAGAGCUGAGGGUUAACAAUGUGACCAGCCCUGAGUUCACCAGUGUUCAGCAUGGCAGUUGUGCUUUAGCCACCAAAGACAUGAGGAAAUCACAGGAGAGAUCAAUGUCUUAUUGUGAUGAGUCUCGACUGUCAAAUCUUCUUCAGAGGAUCACCCGGGAAAACGACCGAGACCGAAGAUUGGCUACUGUAAAGCAGUUGAAAGAAUUUAUUCAGCAACCAGAAAAUAAGCUGGUACUAGUUAAACAAUUGGAUAUCUUGGCUGCUGUACAUGAUGUGCUUAAUGAAAGUAGCAAAUUGCUUCAGGAGUUGAGACAGGAGGGAGCUUGCUGUCUCGGCCUUCUUUGUGCUUCUCUGAGCUAUGAGGCUGAGAAGAUCUUCAAGUGGAUUUUUAGCAAAUUUAGCUCAUCUGCAAAAGAUGAAGUUAAACUCCUCUACUUAUGUGCCACCUACAAAGCACUAGAGACUGUAGGAGAAAAGAAAGCCUUUUCAUCUGUAAUGCAGCUUGUAAUGACCAGCCUGCAGUCAAUUCUUGAAAAUGUGGAUACACCAGAAUUGCUUUGCAAAUGUGUUAAGUGCAUUCUUUUGGUGGCUCGAUGUUACCCUCAUAUUUUCAGCACUAAUUUUAGGGAUACAGUUGGUAUAUUAGUUGGAUGGCAUAGAGAUCAUACUCAGAAACCUUCGCUCACGCAGCAGGUAUCUGGGUGGUUGCAGAGUUUGGAGCCAUUUUGGGUAGCUGAUCUUGCAUUUUCUACGCCUCUACUUGGUCAGUUUCUAGAAGACAUGGAAGCAUAUGCUGAGGACCUCAGCCAUGUGGCCUCUGGGGAAUCAGUGGAUGAAGACGUCCCUCCUCCAUCAGUGUCAUUACCAAAGCUGGCUGCGCUUCUCCGGGUAUUUAGUACUGUGGUGAGGAGCACUGGGGAAAGCCUCAGCCCAAUUCGGGCCCUCCAAUUACUGAGGCAUACGUAACAGAUGUUCUGUACAGAGUAAUGAGAUGUGUGACGGCUGCAAACCAGGUGUUUUUUUCUGAGGCUGUGUUGACAGCUGCUAAUGAGCGUGUUGGUGUUUUGCUCGGCAGCUUGGAUCCUAGCAUGACUAUACAUUGUGACAUGGUCAUUACAUAUGGAUUAGACCAACUGGAGAAUUGCCAGACUUGUGGUACCGAUUAUAUCAUCUCAGUCUUGAAUUUACUCACGCUGAUUGUUGAACAGAUAAAUACGAAACUGCCAUCAUCAUUUGUAGAAAAACUGUUUAUACCAUCAUCUAAACUACUAUUCUUGCGUUAUCAUAAAGAAAAAGAGGUUGUUGCUGUAGCCCGUGCUGUUUAUCAAGCAGUGCUCAGCUUGAAGAAUAUUCCUGUUUUGGAGACUGCCUAUAAGUUAAUAUUGGGAGAAAUGACUUGUGCCCUAAACAACCUCCUGCACAGUCUGCAGCUUCCUGAGUCCUGUUCUGAAAUAAAACAUGAGGCUUUUAAGAAUCAUGUGUUCAAUGUAGACAAUGCAAAAUUUGUAGUUAAAUUUGACCUCAAUUGACUACAAAAUUUGUAGUUAAAUUUGACUACAAUUGGAAAUGCCAAAAACUCACUAAUAGGGAUGUGGGCGCUAUCUCCAACUGUCUUUGCACUUCUGAGUAAGAAUCUGAUGAUUGUGCACAGUGACCUGGCUGUUCACUUCCCUGCCAUUCAGUAUGCUGUGCUCUACACAUUGUAUCCUCAUUGUACCAGGCAUGAUCACUUUAUCUUUAGUAGCCUCAGUUCUUCCUCUCCUUCUUUGUUUGAUGGAGCUGUGAUUGGCACUGUAACUAUGGCCACAAAGAAACAUUUCUCAAUUAUAUUAAAUCUUCUGGGAAUGUUACUUAAGAAAGAUAACCAGGACACGAGGAAACUGUUAAUGACUUGGGCUUUGGAAGUAGCUGUUGUAAUGAAGAAGUCCGAAACAUAUGCACCUUUAUUCUGUCUUCCGUCUUUCCAUAAAUUUUGCAAAGGCCUUUUAGCCGACACUCUCGUUGAAGAUGUGAAUAUCUGUCUGCAGGCAUGCAGCAGUCUACAUGCUCUAUCCUCUUCCUUGCCAGAUGAUCUUUUACAGAGAUGUGUUGAUGUUUGCCGUGUCCAACUAGUGCACCGUGGAACUUGUAUUCGACAAGCAUUUGGAAAACUGUUGAAAUCAAUUCCUUUAGGUGUUUUCCUAAGCGAUAACAAUCACACAGAAAUUCAAGAAAUUUCUUUAGCAUUAAGAAGUCACAUGAGUAAAGCACCAAGUAAUACAUUCCACCCCCAAGAUUUCUCUGAUGUUAUUAGUUUUAUUUUGUAUGGGAACUCUCAUAGAACAGGGAAGGACAAUUGGUUGGAAAGACUGUUCUAUAGCUGCCAGAGACUGGAUAAGCGUGACCAGUCAACAAUUCCACGCAAUCUCCUGAAGACAGAUGCUAUCCUUUGGCAGUGGGCCAUAUGGGAAGCUGCACAAUUCACUGUUCUUUCUAAGCUGAGAACCCCACUGGGCAGAGCUCAAGACACCUUCCAGACAAUUGAAGGUAUCAUUCGAAGUCUCGCAGGUCACACAUUAAACCCUGAUCAGGAUGUUAGUCAGUGGACAACUGCAGACAGUGAUGAAGGCCAUGGUAACAACCAACUUAGACUUGUUCUUCUUCUGCAGUAUCUGGAAAAUCUGGAGAAAUUAAUGUAUAAUGCAUACGAGGGAUGUGCUAAUGCCUUAACUUCACCUCCCAAGGUCAUUAGAACUUUUUUGUAUACCAAUCGCCAAACUUGUCAGGACUGGCUAACGCGGAUUCGACUCUCCAUCAUGAGGGUAGGAUUGUUGGCAGGCCAGCCUGCAGUGACAGUGAGACAUGGCUUUGACUUGCUUACAGAGAUGAAAACAACCAGCCUAUCUCAGGGGAAUGAAUUGGAAGUAAGCAUUAUGAUGGUGGUAGAAGCACUAUGUGAACUUCAUUGUCCUGAAGCUAUACAGGGAAUUGCUGUCUGGUCAUCAUCUAUUGUUGGAAAACAUCUUCUGUGGAUUAACUCAGUGGCUCAACAGGCUGAAGGGAGGUUUGAAAAGGCCUCUGUGGAGUACCAGGAACACCUGUGUGCCAUGACAGGUGUUGAUUGCUGCAUCUCCAGCUUUGACAAAUCGGUGCUCACCUUAGCCAGUGCUGGGUGUAAGAGUGCCAGCCUGAAACAUUGUCUGAAUGGUGAAUCCAGAAAAAGUGUGCUGUCCAAACCGACUGACUCUUCCCCUGAGGUUAUAAAUUAUUUAGGAAACAAAGCAUGUGAGUGCUACAUCUCAACUGCCGAUUGGGCUGCUGUGCAGGAAUGGCAGAACGCUAUCCAUGACUUGAAAAAGAGUACCAGUAGCACUUCCCUCAACCUGAAAGCUGACUUCAACUAUAUAAAAUCAUUAAGCAGCUUUGAGUCUGGAAAAUUUGUCGAAUGUACCGAGCAAUUAGAAUUGUUACCAGGAGAAAAUAUCAAUCUACUUGCUGGAGGAUCAAAAGAAAAAAUAGACAUGAAAAAACUGCUUCGUAACAUGUGAAGUCCAGAUCCAAGGGAACCUCAGAAAUCCAUUGAAGUUCCAUUGUUAAGAAGUUCUGUUUGUUUGGCAACUGCUUUAAACCCGAUAGAACAAGAUCAGAAGUGGCAGUCUAUAACUGAAAAUGUGGUAAAGUACUUGAAGCAAACAUCCCGCAUCGCUAUUGGACCUCUGAGACUUUCUACUUUAACAGUUUCACAGUCUUUGCCAGUUCUAAGUACCUUGCAGCUGUAUUGCUCGUCUGCUUUGGAGACCACAGUUUCUAACAGACUUUCAACAGAGGACUGUCUUAUUCCACUCUUCGGCGAAGCUUUACGUUCAUGUAAACAGCAUGACGUGAGGCCGUGGAUGCAGGCAUUAAGGUAUACUGUGUACCAGAAUCAGUUGUUGGAGAAAAUUAAAGUUAAGUGGUUUUCCUUUUUUUUUUUUUGUAAGAGAAAAUUAAAGGUGGUUUUUUUUUUUUAAAUUUUGCUUUAUUGAGGUUUAUAUUACACAUUCUAAGUGUAUGGUUUGAUGAGUUCUAACAUGUCUUCACUUGUGUGACCACCAAUACGAUCGAGAUAGAGAACAGCGUCUUACCCCAGAAGGUUCCCUUGGGAUCAUCUCCUCAUUUGCCCCUGUCAGCAGUUACUGAUUUGCUUUCUGUCACUAUGGAUUAGACUUGUCUUUACUAAAGUUUCAUGUACGUGAAAUCAUAACAACAUGUUCUCUUGUGUUUGGCUUCUCUUGCUCAGCAUGAUAUUUUUACGGUUCACCCAUAUUGCAUGUAUCAGGAAUAUAAUCCUUUUUAUUAUUGA